CCCAGGAGACGUAGCUGAUAGUCUUUGAAGCCCUCCUUUGAUAGUGUUGUUUUCUGUGCACCCCCUGCAUCUCGCUCCCUCUAUCGCUCACUUGAUCGUUCCUUCUUUCCACACACAAUGAAGCUCGCAAACAUUAGUCUGCACAAUGUGAAGACAAGGAGAGAAGCCUCUGGUUUUGAUCCACCUGCCAGCCUGAGGAUCUCAGCACUGCGGUGACUAACACUGGGCCUAUGGCAUAGUUAGCUCCCUCUUUCCCCGAAGAGUGACAGAUGGAAAGUCCACGGGCAUGAUGUAAAUUUCCCACAGCCACAGUCUAUUUACAACUUCCUCUGCACAGAUGUAAGUUGUCACAGAGCGUCCUCUGUUUAUUAUGGUCUCUUCUCAGUGCACCGCUGGGGAAUAAAUGAAAAGGCACAAGUUGUGUCCCUGUAUCGGACAGUCUGAAAGCAAAUGUGAGGACAUAUCUAUUUUGGAAAAAAAUGACAAGUAGCUCCCACGUCAAUGGUUGUGAUUUGGUUUAAGGCUGACCGAAAGAAAGCAAGAUCACAUUGUUUGUAAAGAAAAGGAAAAAAACAUUAGGUUCAUAUGGCCAGUACACUGCAAAAAAAGAAAAAGUUAGGAAAACUGAAAAAUUCCAGUCAACUCAUUGCACUAGAUUUUUUUAAUUUUGAGGCCAAAUCAAAAUCCUAUGUUUUCAAAAAAAAGUUGGCGCAGCUAACUAUCCUUUUUUCAGAUAAUUUAACUUUCAUUUCAUUCCAAACUAUUUUUUUUUUUACCAUCCUAGUGCGAUCCAGUUAUUGGGUACCCCCCAUAUAUUUCGCAUGACUUCUUUUAAGGCUGCAUUUGAUAUAUUUCAUAUAGCACUGAGAGAAACGACUCAAAGCGCUUUUACACUACAAAUCACAUUCACCCAUUCACACACACACGCACACACACACACACACACACACACACAAACACACUCAUGGAGCGAUUCCUCUUACAUACAUCAUUCACAUUCUGACAGAAUGCAGACUAUGCCGCACGCUGACUUGAAGUAGCGGGGGAUCGAACCACCGACCUUUAGUGAGUGAAAAAUAUUCAUUACAUUUGAUUGAUUGAAUAUCCACAUAAAAUUUUUCCCAUACAAAUUUUCUGAUAAGGUCAACAAGCCUCAGCAAAUUACAGACCAAAACACUCACCUUUUGAAAAAAAGAGGAAACUAAUUAAGUUAGAGCAAAUACUUAGUUAAGUUUAUAAUGGCCUUAAAUACUUUUUUGCUCAUUUUAUCGAAAAUUCCUCAUGAGGUAAGCAAUUUCAAUUCUUUCAUAUUUACAGGGAAAAUCAACUCACUAUUCUCUCCACGGGAUCCAGACGUUACAGAGCUAAACCAAAACAGCAUAUCAGUGGAUGUUAAGUGCUUUGCUGCUCUGAAAAUGUUUUUUUUUGUCCCUGUUAUUGAAACAUGCUUUUCUGACCGAAUAAGACAGAUUUGAACGUCUCCCGCCUAUAACAGGGAGCAUACAGUGCUCCAGAUUGCGCACAUUGAUUCUACUGUAGCUUCCUGUAAAAGCUUAUUAUGUCAUCUCAAGUCAGUAAUAGAAUUAGCCUGACAUUUUGGAAAAAAGCACAUCUUUGCUUAAAAUCAGAAGAUUGACACCACUUUCAUGUCUGCGCCCUGUAGCUGCAGCCGGGAGGCGAUACGUUUAGCUUAGCCUAAAGACUGCUGGGGGAAACUGCUAUCCUGGUUCUCCCUGUAGUUCACAAAUGGGCCUGCCAGCACCUCACCAAUAUGUGUGUCCUAUGUAUUUUUUUAUGAACAAAAACAUACAUGUAAAAAAAAGCAUUUUUACAGCUUGUAUUUCUACAGUCAUGAAAGCUGAAAGUAGGGUUGCUGAGUGGGCUACAGCGCGACUGGUUAGGGACUGUAACUUUACAAAACUUUCAUUUCAUUUUCUAGAGUAACACUUUGAGAGUACCAUAGCAGUAGGCCUAACAAGUAGGCCUAAAAUCCACCUGUUUUAGAUUUUUUAUCAGCCAUUAUGACAUAUGAUUAUGACCACCUGCCAAAUAUUGUGCAGGUCCCCCUGUUGCCACCAAAACAGCUCUGACCCGUCGAGGCAUCGACUCCACAACACCUCUGAAGGUGUGCUGUGGUGUCUGGCGCCAAGACGUCAGCAGCAGGUCCUUUAAGUCCUGUAAUGCCGAGUUCACCCUACGCAAUCUUAAGCCCGAUUUUCAGCUCGCCGGCAAAUCCUGGAGAUGUAGCAAGUCGGAGGUAAUUCAGCGUUAUAUCUAGCAUGUUAAAUAUCUGGACGCGUCGGGAACCAGCUGGGAACCCGUCUCCUGCAGCGUGAGCCGUGACGUGACAUGCAGGCAGUGGGUGCGUCAACCUGGAAACACGGUGGAGGAACUGUAGCACAACAACACAACAACACUCUUCACCCAUAUUCUCUGCCUUUUCCGUGUUUCUGAAUUAAAAUCAUCCAGCGGACUUUAUGCGGGGCUGCAGCAGAUGAUGAGCGUAACCUCGAGCUGCUUUCACGCGGAACCACAUAUUAACGCGUCAAGUAACAAUUUCUCUCCGCACACAACACACAGAGCGUGCGCACAAACUACUUCCUGUUUCUGACCUGUCAACAUAAGAGUAUCCUGCAAUAUAUUGAACACAGCUUCUUUUUGACGUCCAUUGUGAAAGUGACAAACAAUCCGUGUUUCGCGAGUGUAUCCCAUAUCUUCCAUUGUCAGUUCUCGCUUGUUUUCGUGAAAAAAAGAACGUGAUUUGGAGACAUUUCUCCUGGUGAAGGAUCGUGCAGUGUGGUAGGGUGCAUUAUCCUACUGAAGGAGGCCACUGCCAUUUGGGAAUACUGUUUCCAUGAAGGAGGGUACUCUGUACUUGGCACUCUUCCCUGGCACCCGGCUGUCCACAUGCUUUCGGCGGUGGGCAGGGGUCAACAUGGGCACUAUGGCCGGUCUGCGGCUACGCAGCCCCAUAUGCAGCAAGCUGAGAUGCACUGUGUUCGGACACAUUCCUAUCAGAAGCAACAUUAACUUUCUCCAGCUGUUUGUUCUACAGUAGCUCUUCAGUUGGAUCGGACUACAAGGAGCUAUCCUUUCGUACCCCGUGCACAUCAAUGAGACUUGGGCGCCCAUGACCCCAUUGCCGGUUCACCUGUCCUGUUGUCCUUCCUUAGAACACUUUGACGACUGCCGAUCAGGAACACCCGACAAGACCUGCAGUUUCACAGAUGCUUGUCUAGCCAUCACUGCAAAGUCGCUCAAGAUCCUUGCUCUUGCCCAUUUUUGCUGCUUCCAACACAUCAACUUUGAGGACUACAUAUUAACUUGCUGCCCAAUAUAUCCCACCCACUGACAGGGGCCAUUGGAAUGAGUUUAUAAAUGAUAUUCCCUUUCCCUUGUAGCGGUAAUAGUGUUACGGUACUAUUUGAGACACAAAUGUAGAACGUGACGUAGAUAACGUUAGCCGCAAACUUGCAGAUGAUUGCAGAUUUUAGUGGUGAUAGUUGUGGGUCAGAUGUGCCUCAGAAAAAAAGAUUCUAUGAUUUCUUCAGUGGCCCUAAAGCCAAAUCUGCCGUCUGUUGUAAUGUAAAAUGUUUAAAACUGGUAUAAAAUGUUGUUGGGCACUCAAAUAAAUACAGAAAUGUCAAAUUAA